rnacentral:lncRNA from 1 species
CUUCCUGGGCCUGGGACCCGAGGGGAGCCGAGCGGGAAUUGCUUUCCUGGUUCGAUCCGCUGCCGCUGUGAGGGCCGAGCGGAAACCCGUAGACCUUUUAUGUGAAGAGAUUGCGGCCUCCUGGUCACCAGUCACCGAGAGAGGGACCCCUGGACCGCCUACGUGGUGGUGUCUGCCGCAGGCCAUAGGGAUCCAGCCCACUUAGGCAGUCCCUUGGGGACGCGGCCUUCCCUCCGGAGCGGAAAGGCGCUUCCCGCCCGCCCUGCGGUAAUCCCGGAAGCCCUCAGCCGUUAAGCUAAAAUUUCUGUUGCUUUGGCUACUGAUGGAAACCUGUUGUAAGUGGAACCUCUAAACUGUAUGACAGGUGAACCCACUUUAGGUAGCUGUGUGAUUCUGUCCACUUGUACAGACGUGCAGUGGUUUUUAAGUCUCCUAUAAUGACGUCAUUUUAAAGAGGCAUUUCCUCCACCCCGCUGACAAGAGCGCCUCUUGAGGGCCCUAAACAAUGUAAACAGCGAUGAUUUUCAUGAAUUGAGCACUGUGUAAGGGCUUUACAUAUAUUCUGUCUCAUCUUCACGGAGCCAUAGUACCCAUUUUAUACCUGAGGAACCUGAAGCUCAGAAAGGAAAAGGGACCUGGCCAAGACCACAUAACCCUUGCCCUAUUUUAACCGCUGGAUGCCCCAAAACAUGAAUCAUAAAAAUGCUUUGUAAUGUAGAUAUAUUAUGUACUAUGUAGUACAUAAAAGACAUGAAUGCUUCAACAAAAUACAGGCAAUAAUAGAAAUAUCUACAAGGGCCAAAUGUAGCCAGAGAGAUAAUGCUUGAAUCUCAUCUGAAAGUGUGCUAUGUGAGCUGAGUGUUGAUGAAUGGCUAGGAGUUCAACAGAGAAGGUAGGGAAGAUGGUCUAGCCGCAGAGAACAAGCAAAAGCGCAGAAGGUGUCAAGUAAGUAAUAGUUUGGGGAGCUUAAAGUGCAUGGAGGGUACAUGGCAAAAUAUUAGGCAAGUUAGUCAGGGGUCAUGUCAGUUAAGAGCAUUUUAUGCCUAAGAGUGGGCUUAAAUCUUUGCAAACAGGACAUGCGAGCCAGAGAAGUGUUAUGAAGGAAGAAGAGGCAUAAGAAGGCUCCCUCUUGAGAUAAUCUGAAGAAUUGGCCAGAUUGAAAACCUUUUAAAAUCAAAACCCCUGAUUUGUUGAUAAAUCUUACUGUUCAACCUAUAGGUUCCCUUUGGAAAUUGAUUUUGAAAAGUGAAAAAUUCCAUUAUAAUGUUAAAAAGCCUCUUCCAAUUUGUCCAUUUUGUAAGUUUUAAAAUACCGAUAAUUAUAUUUCUUAACCUCAGGAUUUACAAAGUAAAGCAUUUAACCUCAAUACUGGUAGUCUAGGUUUUUGUUGUUGUUGUUGUUGUUUGUUUUUUUCUUGAGACGGAGUCUCGCUCUGUUGCCCAGAUUGGAGUACAGUGGUGAUCUCAGCUCACUGCAGCCUCUGCCUCCCAGGUUCAAGCGAUUCUCCUGUCUCAGCCUCCUGAGUAGCUGGGACUACAGGCGCAUGCCACCACCCCAGGCUAAUUUUUGUAUUUUUAGUAGAGAUGGGGUUUCACCAUAUUGGCCAGGCUGGUCUCGAAUUCCUGACUUCAGGUGAUCCACCUGCCUCGGCCUCCCAAAGUGCUGUGAUAACAGGCAUAAGCCACAGCGCCCAGCCAGGUCUAGGUUCUUUGAUUCAGUGUUUCUAUUUAGCAAUUCUAGAUUGCUGCCACAACUAAGGCAAGCCAUGGACACAAGGAACACUUCUGUCCACCCCGUCUCCAUUGUGAUAUUACCUACAGAAAAAUUCAGUAACACUCGUCAGUACCCUAAACUCCUUUGCCUCACCUUUCUUUUCAUUGUACCCCUAUCUUGAAUGAACCCUACCAUCCAUAGUCUCCACUUUGAUAAAUGGAGCAGCUGACCACUAUUAGAGAAAUGUGCAUAGCCAUCUGUAUUCUAUUACUACAUUUCUUCUUUUUUUUUUUUUUUUUGGAGACACUCUUGCUCUGGCACCCAGGCUGGAAUGCAGUGGUGCGAUCACCACUGAAGGCUCAAUGUCCCGGGCUCAAGUGAUCCUCCCACUUCAGCCUCCUGAGUUGCUGGUACUACAGGUGCACACCACCAUACCUGGCUAAUUUUUUAUUUUUUUUUACAGAUACAUCUCACUAUGUUGCUCAGACUGGUCUGGAACUCCUGGCCUCAAGCAAUCCUCCCACCUUGGCCUCCCAAAAUGCUAGGAUUACAGGUGUGAGCCACUACACCCAGCCUACUUAAUUUCAAUCACCAAGCACAACUCAACCUUCAAUAAUUCCCAGCAAUCCUAUUAAAUUUUUCUGGAUUGUUCUCCCACUCUCGACAACUCUUUCACACCUUUGCAGUUUCCUCAAACUUCAGCCCUGCCCUUUCACAUCUUCUCAAAACAUGUGACUUUUAGUCACAGAGGAAUUUGAAAAUAUCAGGACCAAUGUGACUUGAGACAUGCUGAGCAAAGAAGAGGGUGUUAAGGGAUAAAGUCAGAGAAAGCAGAUCAAGGUAGGGGGCCAGUAGGGGCCUUGUAGGUCAUCUUAAGAAGUUUACAUUAUUCCAGUGGCAAUUAUUAACGAGUUUUAAGCAGAAGAGUGAAACUAUAUGAUCUGUGUUUUUAAAAAGAUAACUGACUGCUUUAUGGUGAAUGGACUACGAAAACAAAGCAAUUAUGAGGCUAUCUCAGUAGUCCAGCCUUUUCCACCACAAAUCUGGCCCUCUCUGCUUCCUGCUGAGCCACCUGUUUGGCUUCCACUGCUUCUGUGAACUCCUUCCCAAAGGUCAGAUGUGUCGAGGAGGUGUCAUCCAGCAUGAGCUAAAUAAAAUGUGGCUACUGCUCCAUAAGGUCAUCCUUCACCUGCCUGGAGACCACCUCUCUCUGGGUGAUUGCUUCUGCAGCCUCAAAGCGAACCACCACCUGCUUAAGGAUGUCUGUAGUGAUGGAUGGCAGCACAGGCUCAUCACAGCCCUCUCCCAU